CCGCCCCUCAGCCUAGAGAAGCCCGGCGCUUCCCACUUCCAGUGCGCAGGCAGCGCCGCCGGAACCGGGCGUGGCCUCGGCGCAAUGCCCGCUGGGAAGCGUAGUCCCAAGCAGGGACGGAUGCGGCGGCCCUCGGAGCUCAGGUUGCAAGAUACGGUUUGGCCCCGGGCCUAUGCAACGCCCGUCCGUCCUGCCCUCUGCGGGUCGCUCUCACUUGUCCCUGGACCGCAGCCGCCGCAUAAGUGGUGGCCAACGCUGGGCCUGGGUGUGGCCGGAAGCAGAGGCCGCUCUGACUACACACCCACCCCCCAAAGGCUUCUGGGAGUCGCGCAGGCGCAGCGGCAGACCGGGUGAGGCGGGGCUUGCGGCGAGGGGUGGGACCGCAGGGCCGGAGUAAAAGGGUGCUUGGCUGUGACAGGUGCUAAGGGCCUGGGCGUCAGCUCCUUGCGGGAGCGUCACUGCCGACCGGGAAGGGAAAGGCAAUCUUGGGGGCCUCCGGAGUCCGGAGGAUCACUCUGAUGGGUCUCCUGGCCUCAGUGAUGGAAUUAAGAUGACUUCUAUCUCUGAAUCCAAGGGUGACUGAAAGCCGCAAGCUGCAGAAAGGACAAGAGGCAUCACCUAUGUGGAUAAAGACAGCAUCCUGAGUUGAUGGAGAAAUGGCAUAGAAGGAACCAGGUCCUUUGAUGACAUCAUGGAGCAAAGCUGUCUUCUUGCCUUGACCUGCUACCUACCUACAUGGGAAGCUGUUACUUGAGAAGGCAAUAAAAUCUAUCUUCUUUAUUGACAGAGUUGACAAUACCUUUUUUAUCUUAUUGUAGCAGUCACUUAUCCUCAAAUGACUGCUAUAUCCUAUUUUCCUAUUAUAUGGGGCUAUAUGCGUCCUUGUUCAUAUUUAGCAGAGAAGCA
rnacentral:lncRNA from 10 species